CAGUCGCCACGGUAAUACGGAGGGUGCGAGCGUUAAUCGGAAUUACUGGGCGUAAAGCGUACGCAGGCGGUUUGUUAAGUCAGAUGUGAAAUCCCCGAGCUUAACUCGGGAACUGCAUUUGAAACUGGCAGGCUAGAGUCUCGUAGAGGGGGGUAGAAUUCCAGGUGUAGCGGUGAAAUGCGUAGAGAUCUGGAGGAAUACCGGUGGCGAAGGCGGCCCCCUGGACGAAGACUGACGCUCAGGUACGAAAGCGUGGGGAGCAAACAGGGUUAGAUACCCCGGUAGUCCCUGUCUCUUAUAC
rnacentral:rRNA from 1 species